AGUAGAAGUUUGGCUCUCACAGGAGCCCGUUUAAAAUCCUUAAGACGGUCGACCGCUGUAGAAACUCGGAUGGAGUCCGAUUACUGUAGAAACCUCGUUGUCGAAGAAGCUCGGAUAUUGACGAAGUCUGAAAGGAGUUCGGAGAAUAGUUUAUCACCAUAGAAGGUCGGCUGACAGUGAGGCCUAGAGAGCCUUUGGAGCAGCACGGUAGAUGGAUGGAGAAGCUCAUUGUCGGAGAAGUCCGGAAGCUC
rnacentral:lncRNA from 1 species